GACGAACACUGGCGGCGUGCUUAACACAUGCAAGUCGAACGGAAAGGCCCUGCUUGCAGGGUACUCGAGUGGCGAACGGGUGAGUAACACGUGGGUGAUCUGCCCUGCACUUCGGGAUAAGCCUGGGAAACUGGGUCUAAUACCGGAUAGGAGCCAUUUUUAGUGUGAUGGUUGGAAAGUUUUUUCGGUGUAGGAUGAGCUCGCGGCCUAUCAGCUUGUUGGUGGGGUAAUGGCCUACCAAGGCGGCGACGGGUAGCCGGCCUGAGAGGGUGGACGGCCACAUUGGGACUGAGAUACGGCCCAGACUCCUACGGGAGGCAGCAGUGGGGAAUAUUGCACAAUGGGCGCAAGCCUGAUGCAGCGACGCCGCGUGGGGGAUGACGGCCUUCGGGUUGUAAACUCCUUUCGCUAGGGACGAAGCUUUUUGUGACGGUACCUAGAUAAGAAGCACCGGCUAACUACGUG
rnacentral:rRNA from 1 species